GAGAGACUUCAAGACUUUCUUGACACGGGAGUAUGUAUUUGGAGAGCGACAAAAUGAGACUCCCUGUCUAAAGUACCAGAUCACUGAUGAGGAGUGGAUGCAAUUUCGUGCCACUCGAUUGGACCCUUCGUGGCAGGCUAAAAGAAUAGCUGCCCAAGAACGACAGGCCAAGAAUGAUGCACCCCAUCUAUUGUCAAGAGGGGGAUAUGAAAG